UUGCAAGCCAUCCAGCAUGCUUGGGUUUAGGGCGAUUCUGUGCAUUCCUGUAGUAGGGCUUGCUAAAGUGUUCUGAAAUGGUUUGAGGCCUUGCCUCAAACUUGUGCACCUCAGAACACAGUCACAGACAUUUGAGACAAUU
rnacentral:snoRNA from 1 species